AUUGGCCCAAGCCAAUUUUGAGUUCGAAUCUUCCCAUUCCCGACCGAAGCCAAAGCCCAAGCGAGUUUUGUGUGUCUGGUAAGCGGCAACAAACACUGGAGAAGCGAAAGCAGGAGCAGGAAUGUGGAGAGACAAGCCCCCCGGUUUGAAGAUUCUGUGGGUCUGGACCCUUGGCACCGCCGCUGUUUUGGUUGCCAAUGUGGUCAGGACCAGGGUGAGAGACAUGGACACCCUUAUGAACAACACUGAGGAGCAUCAUCAACAACAACAACAACAACAACAGGAGACCGCCGCCGACACGGAGACACUUUUGUUGCCUGAAUCCGAUCAAGUGAUUCGGGAAGAAAAAUCCUCUUAGCUAGCUAGCUAGGUAAUUUGGCAUCAUUCCCAGUUUUGUAUCUACCACUCUACCCUUCUCUACUAUUGAAGAAGAUGUCUUCAAAUAUCACGUUUGUGUGUCAGUUUGGAUAAACGGUUUUACGGGCUUUUGACAAAGAUUUUGUGUAAUGUGUUUGUCGUACUGACAUGACCUAUUUCAAGAUUUCAUUUUGAUUA